rnacentral:rRNA from 1 species
UUGGAGGGCAAGUCUGGUGCCAGCAGCCGCGGUAAUUCCAGCUCCAAUAGCGUAUAUUAAAGUUGUUGCAGUUAAAAAGCUCGUAGUUGAAUUUCGGGGUCAGUAGGUCGGUCGUGCCACUGGUAUGAACUGGUUUUACUGAUUCCUCCCUCUUGAAGAACUGUAAUGCCAUUAAUUUGGUGUUGCAGGGAACCAGGACUGUUACUUUGAAAAAAUUAGAGUGUUUAAAGCAGGCUUUAGCUUGAAUACAUUAGCAUGGAAUAAUGAAAUAGGACGUUUGAUCCUAUUUUGUUGGUUUCUAGGAUUGACGUAAUGAUUAAUAGGGAUAGUUGGGGGCAUUAGUAUUCAAUUGUCAGAGGUGAAAUUCUUGGAUUUAUUGAAGACUAACUACUGCGAAAGCAUUUGCCAAGGAUGUUUUCAUUAAUCAAGAACGAAAGUUAGGGGAUCGAAGACGAUCAGAUACCGUCGUAGUCUUAACCAUAAACUAUGCCGACUAGGGAUCGGAUGAUGUUAAUUUUUUAAUGACUCAUUCGGCGCCUUACGGGAAAC